CAUGUGCUUCCUCUCCAGGAGUACAUAGAAGAUGACCCUGAUUGAGAAAUCACUUAUCACAGUGACAAAUGAAGACUGUCAAUCAGUUUCUCGAGCCAGCCAGUUACUGGAUAAACAAAGAAACCAACAACAACAACAACAACAACAACAACAAAAACACAGAACAGCACAAGUCUUUAGGCAGCCCAGCCUGAGGCACCAGCUCAGAUUGCUGGGAGUGGGGAAAGCAGGGACUGGAAUGACUGUCCCUUUGGGAAUCUUUAUUCUCUAGUCAGGUGACAUGUUUAUGGGAGAAUCAUGUGUGCGGACCAAAAGUCCAAUGUCCUAACAGUCAGCUCCAAGCCAUGGCCAAGGUCUUUGAAAUGCAUAUUUUCUCCCAGAUUGGUAAUUGUGUGUGUCAUUCCUGCUGAGAGGCCAACAGGCAGGCUUCUCUGGCUGGUACUUCGGGAGAGAAACCUCUAAGGGGCCUCAGGGUGGGAGAAAACACUUCCAGGGUCUAGGAUAAAUGAAGCUAUUCCUUCACCUUGGAUGCUAGACCACAGCAGUGCCUCAGGCACCUCUUAGCAGAUGUGUGUCCUUUGGAGAGACCUCAGAGUGGCCCUAGGUACGAGGCUGUUUCUUU
rnacentral:lncRNA from 1 species